rnacentral:miRNA from 14 species
UGCAUGGUGUGUGUGUCUGUCUGUGUGCAUGGUGUAUGUGUGUAUAUGCAUGGUAUACACAUGCACA